rnacentral:lncRNA from 1 species
AAGAUGGGCACUGGAAGAGGAAUUGCAAAGAGUACCUUGCAGAAAGGGCGAAACAAAAGCUUGAUGAAGCUUCAGGUACAUUCAUGAUCAGUCUCCAUUUGUCAUACUCUUAUGAUAACACAUGGGUAUUGGAUACCAGUAGUGCUUAUCAUAUAUGCAAUUGGUUGCAGGUUCUGGCAAGGCCUAGGAGACUAGAGAGAGGCA